rnacentral:tRNA from 1 species
GGGGAUGUAGCUAAAACGCUAAAGUGCUCGCUUAUCUUGCUAGAGGAGCGGGGUUCGAUACCCCGCAUCUCCA